ACGCUGGCGGCGUGCUUCAUACGAUGCAAGUCGAACGAGAAGCUAGCUUCGGUUAGUGGAAAGUGGCGGACGGGUGAGUAACGCGUGGGCAAUCUGCCUCUUACAGGGGGGAUAACACAGGGAAACCUGUGCUAAUACCGCAUAACACUUUAGUACCGCAUGGUACAGAAGUCAAAGCUUUAUGUGCUGAGAGAUGGUCUCGCGUCUGAUUAGCUAGAUGGCGGGGUAACGGCCCACCAUGGCGACGAUCAGUAGCCGGUCUGAGAGGUUGAUCGGCCACAUUGGGACUGAGACACGGCCCAGACUCCUACGGGAGGCAGCAGUGGGGGAUAUUGCACAAUGGGGGAAACCCUGAUGCAGCAACGCCGCGUGAAGGAAGAAGGUCUUCGGAUUGUAAACUCUUGUCUUUAGGGAAGAAGAAAGUGACGGUACCUAAGGAGGAAGCCACGGCUAACUACGUG
rnacentral:rRNA from 1 species